UGGCUCAGAUGGUAAAGUGUCUGCCUACAAUGCAGAAGACCCUGGUUCAAUCCCUGG
rnacentral:tRNA from 1 species